rnacentral:lncRNA from 1 species
CUCUUCUUGCGAUGCUGCGGAUGACGUCAACGAAGUUGAUGACGGUGGCGUGGAUCUGUUCGGCCAUCGGAUUUGAUUUGACAUUUUCGAAUAAGUAUUGAAGGGUCCGAAGAAACGGGGAAUCAAAGAUUCCCCUCCCCUCUUCUUUCGAAAGUAUCAAACCGGCGAUGCUGUAGAUGUCGUUGGUGAUGGUGGCGUGGAUCUGUUCGGUCGGCAAAUUUGAUUCAAUAUUUUCAAAAUGUUUUGAAGGGUCCAAAGAAACGGGGAAUCAAAGAUUCCCCUCCCCUCUUCUUUUCGAAAAGAUCAAAACGGCGAUUAUAGAUGUCGUCGACGGAGUUGUUAACAGUGGCAUAGAUCUGUUCGGCCAGCAAAUUUGAUUCGAUAUUUAUCGAAGAAAUGUUGAAGGGUCCGAAGAAACAGGGAAUCAAAGAUUCCCCUCCCUUCUUCUUUCGAAAGUAUCAAACAAAACAUGCUGGAGAUGGUCGCG